rnacentral:rRNA from 1 species
GCAAGUCGAGCGGUAACAGAAAGUAGCUUGCUACUUUGCUGACGAGCGGCGGACGGGUGAGUAAUGCUUGGGAACAUGCCUUGAGGUGGGGGACAACAGUUGGAAACGACUGCUAAUACCGCAUAAUGUCUACGGACCAAAGGGGGCUUCGGCUCUCGCCUUUAGAUUGGCCCAAGGGGGAGUAGCUAGUGGGUGAGGUAAUGGAGAACCAAGGCGACGAUGCCUAGCUGGUCUGAGAGGAUGAGC